UACGUAGGGGGCAAGCGUUGUCCGGAUUUAUUGGGCGUAAAGGGCGCGUAGGCGGUUUCUUAAGUUUGGAGUGACAGUGGGUGGCUUAACUACCCAAGGCCUUUGGAAAACUGGGGAACUUGAGGACCAGAGAGGGACAUAGAAUUCCGGGUGGAGUGGUGAAAUGCGUAGAUAUCCGGAGGAAUGCCAAAGGCGAAGGCAGUGUCCUGGAGGGUAACUGACUGCUGAGGCGCGAAAGCUAGGGGAGCGAACAGG
rnacentral:rRNA from 1 species